UAGGGAAUCUUCCACAAUGGACGCAAGUCUGAUGGAGCACCGCCGCGUGAGUGAAGAAGGUUUUCGGAUCGUAACGCUCUGUUGUUGGUGAAGCAGGAUAGAGGCAGUAACUGGUCUUUAUUUGACGGUAAUCAACCAGAAAGUCACGGCUAACUACGUGCCAGCAGCCGCGGUAAUACGUAGGUGGCAAUCGUUGUCCUGAUUUAUUGGUCGUAAAGCGAGCGCAGCCGGAAUGAUACGUCUGCUGUUAAAGCCCACGGCUCACCCGUGGAAGUGGAUCGGAAACUGUCAUUCUUGAGGUCAGAAGAAGAGGAGGGAAGUACAUGUGUAGCGGUGGAAUGCGUAGAUAUAUGGAAGAACACCAGUGGCGGAGGCGGCUGUCUGGUCUGCAACUGACGCUGAGGCUCGAAAGCAUGGGUAGCGAACAGG
rnacentral:rRNA from 1 species